rnacentral:lncRNA from 1 species
AAAAGUAUGACUGAUCAGCUCAAUGUUCAAGUAAACGUUGGCAAGAAUCUGUUGUCUGAGAAGGACACUGAGCUUCAGGGAAUGGAACAGAAGCUUUAUCUUACUGAAACUGAGAAAGCUGUGUUGCAUCAAAUUUUGAUGAAUGAAGUCGCUGCACUCAAAGAGGGUAGUGAAGAACUGAAAUUGAUAAUAAGGGAGAAAGAUCACAAAGGGGAACUGCUAGAAAUUGAAAACUGUGACCUAGCAAAAGCAUUGCAGUUGGCAGAGAAUGAGUUGAAGACUCUUAAAAGUAUGACUGAUCAGCUCAAUGUUCAAGUAAACGUUGGCAAGAAUCUGUUGUCUGAGAAGGACACUGAGCUUCAGGGAAUGGAACAGAAGCUUUAUCUUACUGAAACUGAGAAAGCUGUGUUGCAUCAAAUUUUGAUGAAUGAAGUCGCUGCACUCAAAGAGGGUAGUGAAGAACUGAAAUUGAUAAUAAGGGAGAAAGAUCACAGAGGAGAACUGCUAGAAAUUGAAAACUGUGACCUAGCAAAAGCAUUGCACUUGGCAGAGGAUGAGUUGAAGACUCUUAAAAGUAUGACGGAUCAGCUCAGUCUUCAAGUAAAUGUUGGCAAAAAUCUGUUGUCUGAGAAGGACACUGAGCUUCAGGGAACGGAACAGAAGCUUUAUCUUACUGAAACUGAGAAAGCUGUGUUGCAUCAAAUUUUGAUGAAUGAAGUCGCUGCACUCAAAGAGGGUAGUGAAGAACUGAAAUUGAAAAUAAGGGAGAAAGAUCACAGAGGGGAACUGCUAGAAAUUGAAAAUUGUAACCUGGCAAAAGCAUUGCAGUUGGCAGA